rnacentral:rRNA from 1 species
CCUACGGGAGGCUGUAGUGGGGAAUAUUGGACAAUGGGCGAAAGCCUGAUCCAGCCAUGCCGCGUGUGUGAAGAAGGCCUUCGGGUUGUAAAGCACUUUCAGUGGGGAAGAAAGCCUUGGGGCUAAUACCCUCGAGGAAGGACAUCACCCACAGAAGAAGCACCGGCUAACUCCGUGCCAGCAGCCGCGGUAAUACGGAGGGUGCGAGCGUUAAUCGGAAUUACUGGGCGUAAAGCGCGCGUAGGCGGUCUGAUAAGCCGGUUGUGAAAGCCCCGGGCUCAACCUGGGAACGGCAUCCGGAACUGUCAGGCUAGAGUGCAGGAGAGGAAGGUAGAAUUCCCGGUGUAGCAGUGAAAUGCGUAGAGAUCGGGAGGAAUACCAGUGGCGAAGGCGGCCUUCUGGACUGACACUGACGCUGAGGUGCGAAAGCGUGGGUAGCAAACAGGAUUAGAUACCCUGGUAGUC